CUGUUCAUCUAACCAACACGUGAAAGACUCGGACCAAUCUAAAAAUGAACCAGAUGAGAGAGCAAAUUUAGCCAAGAGAUCUGCUUGGGUGUCGAGGCAUCGAUUCACAUGGCAAAUGUAUCGCCUCGCAACAAUCUAAGAGAAGCAACACCCGCUUUAAUUUCAUUCUAAUAACAAAACAAAUGGCCACCUUAAUUGCUUGGAGCUCUGCGUGAAGAGGGGGUAUCCAACAUCAAGGAAUUUGGGUGAAGCAUAACAGUGUUCAUUUGUUCGGGUGAAAAGCUCUCCCUCGGACACGCCUCUGAUAUAAUGUUUCUAUCUACUGUCUCAUUUCUACGAAUUGUCAUCCGAUAAACCCGCUCCCAAAGCCUCCCAAGUAGCAUCAAAAUUAGUCGUAGGAACAGAUCUCAAUGGAAAUGACGGGACACACCUAGCCCAGAUUUCACGAUAUCGACGACACUCAAAUAAAGUAUGAAAUACAGUAUCAACCUUUUGAUUAUAGCAAGGACAACAUGGGGUAAUCUCUACUCCUUUUCUUAGGUUAGCUCUUGAUUGGGAUAAUAUCAUGAAUAGCUCGUCACACAAAUUGCUUGAUUUUGGGCGGAAUAUUCAAUUUCCAUAGUUUCUGCCAAAAUUGUUGAUUACCUGAAGAAUUGGAGGAGGAAGACUCAAAUUUGUUAUGCAUAAAUAGUUAAUGCACUUUUCACGGAAUAGAUAUCCUUUUUGUCGAAAUGCCAAAG